CCUACGGUGGGCAGCAGUGAGGAAUAUUGGUCAAUGGACGAGAGUCUGAACCAGCCAAGUAGCGUGAAGGAUGACUGCCCUAUGGGUUGUACACUUCUUUUAUAUUGGAAUAAAAUGUUCCACGUGUGGGAUUUUGUAUGUACCAUAUGAAUAAGGAUCGGCUAACUCCGUGCCAGCAGCCGCGGUAAUACGGAGGAUCCGAGCGUUAUCCGUAUUUAUUGGGUUUAAAGGGAGCGUAGGUGGAUUGUUAAGUCAGUUGUGAAAGUUUGCGGCUCAACCGUAAAAUUGCAGUUGAAACUGGAAGUCUUGAGUACAGUAGAGGUGGGCGGAAUUCGUGGUGUAGCGGUGAAAUGCUUAGAUAUCACGAAGAACUCCGAUUGCGAAGGCAGUUCACUGGACCGCAACUGACACGGAGGCUCGAAAGUGUGGGUAUCAAACAGGAUGAGAUACCCCAGUAGUC
rnacentral:rRNA from 1 species